rnacentral:rRNA from 1 species
CAUGAAGCCCCCCUCAAGAUGAGAUUUCCCAACUUCGGUUAUAAGAUCCCUCAAAGAUGAUGAGGUUAAUAGGUUCGAGGUGGAAGCAUGGUGACAUGUGGAGCUGACGAAUACUAAUCGAUCGAAGACUUAAUCAA